UGUGAAAGUCCAUCGCCUAACGGUGGAUCUGCGCCGGGUACGGGCGGGCUGGAGUGCGGUAGGGGAGACUGGAAUUCCCGGUGUAACGGUGGAAUGUGUAGAUAUCGGGAAGAACACCAAUGGCGAAGGCAGGUCUCUGGGCCGUUACUGACGCUGAGGAGCGAAAGCGUGGGGAGCGAACAGGAUUAGAUACCCUGGUAGUCCACGCCGUAAACGGUGGAUGCUGGAUGUGGGGCCCUUCCACGGGUCCCGUGUCGGAGCCAACGCGUUAAGCAUCCCGCCUGGGGAGUACGGCCGCAAGGCUAAAACUCAAAGAAAUUGACGGGGGCCCGCACAAGCGGCGGAGCAUGCGGAUUAAUUCGAUGCAACGCGAAGAACCUUACCUGGGCUUGACAUGUUCCCGGCGACGGCGGAGACGUCGUUUCCCUUCGGGGCGGGUUCACAGGUGGUGCAUGGUCGUCGUCAGCUCGUGUCGUGAGAUGUUGGGUCAAGUCCCGCAACGAGCGCAACCCUCGCCCCGUGUUGCCAGCGCGUCAUGGCGGGAACUCACGGGGGACCGCCGGGGUUAACCCGGAGGAAGGUGGGGAUGACGUCAGAUCAUCAUGCCCCUUACGUCCAGGGCUUCACGCAUGCUACAAUGGCCGGUACAACGGGAUGCGACAUGGUGACAUGGAGCGGAUCCCUGAAAACCGGUCUCAGUUCGGAUCGGA
rnacentral:rRNA from 1 species